CCUACGGGUGUCAGCAGUGAGGAAUAUUGGUCAAUGGCCGGAAGGCUGAACCAGCCACGCCGCGUGAAGGACGAAGGUGCCAAGCAUUGUAAACUUCUUUUGUAAAGGGAAAAAAUCAGGCUCGAGAGCCUGACCGAGGGUACUUGCAGACAAAGCAUCGGCUCACUCCUUGACAGCAGCCGAGGUAAUACGGGGGAUGCGAGCGUUAUCCGGAUUUAUUGGGGUUAAAGGGUGCACAGGCGGAAGAACAAGUCAGCGGUAAAAUUGAGAGGCUAAACCUCUUCGUGUCGUUGAAACUGGUUUUCUUGAGUGAAGGAGAGGUAUGCGGAAUGCGUAGUGUAGCGGUGAAAUGCAUAGAUAUCACGCAGAACUCCGAUGGCGAAGGCAGCAUACCGGCGCUCAACUGACGCUCAUGCACGAAAGUGUGGGUAUCGAACAGGAUUAGAUACCCGAGUAGUC
rnacentral:rRNA from 1 species